UACGAAGGGGGCUAGCGUUGCUCGGAAUCACUGGGCGUAAAGCGCACGUAGGCGGCUUUCUAAGUCAGGGGUGAAAUCCUGGAGCUCAACUCCAGAACUGCCUUUGAUACUGGAAAGCUUGAGUUCGGGAGAGGUGAGUGGAACUGCGAGUGUAGAGGUGAAAUUCGUAGAUAUUCGCAAGAACACCAGUGGCGAAGGCGGCUCACUGGCCCGAUACUGACGCUAAGGUGCGAAAGCGUGGGGAGCAAACAGG
rnacentral:rRNA from 1 species